rnacentral:rRNA from 1 species
AUUGAACGCUGGCGGCAGGCUUAACACAUGCAAGUCGAGCGAGCGGCGGACGGGUGAGUAAUGCUUGGGAAACUGGCUGAUGGAGGGGGAUAACUACUGGAAACGGUAGCUAAUACCGCAUACCAUCAGAUGUGCCCAGGUGGGAUUAGCUAGUUGGUGGGGUAAUGGCUCACCAAGGCGACGAUCCCUAGCUGGUCUGAGAGGAUGACCAGCCACACUGGAACUGAGACACGGUCCAGACUCCUACGGGAGGCAGCAGUGGGGAAUAUUGCGCAAUGGGCGCAAGCCUGAUGCAGCCAUGCCGCGUGAAUGAAGAAGGCCUUCGGGUUGUAAAGCUCUUUCAGCGGGGAGGCGUUACUCGCAGAAGAAGCACCGGCUAACUCCGUGCCAGCAGCCGCGGUAAUAC